AUGAGUAACAUGCUUAGCCCGAUCAUGUGCUGGAACGUCCGCGACCUAAACAACCCGGCGAAGCGAGCAUCGGUUUGUGAGAUGGCCACCACACACAAAGCGGCAAUCUUCUGCCUACAAGAAACUAAAAUUGAGGUCUGGACACCCAACCUAGUGCGUGAGAUAGGAGGUGCCCUGCUGCAAGACUGCAUAGCUCUGCCGGCGAUCGGCACCUGCGGCGGAGCGGCAAUUCUCUGGAACAGAGAUGUAGUUUCAGUAGACUCCCAUGCGAUCGGCAUCUUUGCGAUCAUGGCUAAGGUCAAAUGGCACGGGCAGCAGGAAGGUUUUUGGCUUUCCUCUGUCUACGGACCUGCUGACGAUGCAAGAAAGGAGGCCUUCCUCCUCGAGCUCUCCCGUACUGCACCACCAACCCCAGAGCCAUGGCUGAUAAAUGGGGAUUUCAACCUCAUCUAUGAAGCCCGCGACAAGAACAAUCUAAACCUCAACCGACGACUAAUGGGUAGAUUUAGAUCGGCGAUCGACCACGCGGGACUGAAGGAAAUAAAAUGCAAAAACAGACGCUACACUUGGAGCAAUGAACGUGAUGAUCCAACUCUUGUUAGUAUAGACAAGUUUUUCUGCAACCAAGCAUGGGAGUCACUCUUCCCCUCCUUCUUGCUAGUAGUUGCAUCCACUGCAACUUCAGACCACUGCCCCCUGAUUUUAGCCGACGCCAGUGCCCCGCCACGCCGAGCAAAUUUUAAAUUUGAAAAUUUCUGGCCCAAGUUCCCGCGGUUCAUGGAGACAGUGGAGAGGGCCUAG
rnacentral:rRNA from 1 species